UACGUAGGGUCCGAGCGUUGUCCGGAAUUAUUGGGCGUAAAGGGCUCGUAGGCGGUCUGUUGCGUCGGGAGUGAAAACUUACAGCUUAACUGUGAGCGUGCUUCCGAUACGGGCAGACUUGAGGUAUUCAGGGGAGAACGGAAUUCCUGGUGCAGCGGUGAAAUGCGUAGAUAUCGAGAGGAACACCUGCGGCGAAGGCGGGUUGCUGGGCCGACACUGACGCUGAUGCGCGAAAGCCAGGGGAGCGAACGGG
rnacentral:rRNA from 1 species